GAUGUACUCCCUCCGUCCGAAAAUACUUGUCAUUGAAAUGGAUGUAUCUAGAUGUAUUUUAGUUGUAAGUACAUCAAUUUCCAUCCAUUUUGAUGACAAGUAUUUCCGGACGGAGGGAGUACUUA
rfam:Triticum urartu cultivar G1812 contig424700, whole genome shotgun sequence.